GAAUUUUUUUAAGUCCAGUGUUCAAAGGAAGGGAAGAAAGAUUGAGAUGUUUCCAGAAGUCUAACUCUGAACCCCAGGUUUGGCCAAACAGCUCCUCUGAACUUCUGGCUUUCUGUGCUUCCCUCCAGCACGGGUCCCGUCACACGGAGUGAUUUUGACAUCACCCUCGUGCGCACCCGUGCGUCACGCUCCUUGAGAGUGGGGGACGGUCUUACUUAGCAACCCCACGACUUUGGAGGGAGCCUGAUAGGCACACGGCGGGGCUCGGUAACGAUGCCUGCAUUGGUUGGCAACCUCCAUGAGGGGGGUGUGUGUUCGUGUCUCUUCCUAGGACUCCACAGGAAUCACGUUCGUGUGUUUAAGCUGCAACCAACACAGUUGUUAGGACGAUCGUCGCAGCCAUCAGGUGCUUGUGUUGUUUAUGAAGUGCUGGGCCAGUUGCUGGGCACCGGACAACAGAACGUUCUGUGAUACCGGAAAGGUCCUGUAUCUGCCCUGUCCAGCAGGGGAGCCACCAGCCUCCUGUGAGCCUCUACCGUGGGGACUGGAUCUCCCACCUCCGGGAAGCACCGGCCAGGACCGAGUGCCGAGACAGAAGGCGACCCCGGGGGAGUCGUGCGGACACUCCACUGCCCCUAAACGUCCAGGAGGUGACCCUUCCUGGCCCAGGUGACCCUGACCGGGGCCCAGAGGCCCUGCUCUGACAGGCAGAUGCUACCUGGGAGACAGGGCCAGCGCGGACACAGGACUGUGGGACAGUGUGCCUGUCAGUAUGGUUCCUCUGCUCGCCCCUAAAAUGGCCCCUGGUGGCUGAAGGAAUAAACGCGGAGAAGUACCUGGCACACGGA